GAAAAUAGGUUUAAAAAUUAUAUUUUUAAUUAAAAGGGAAGUAGGUUAGAAUCCUACACGAUCCCGUCGCUGUAAUUGAGGAGUGUCUACAAAAUCCACUGGGAAACUGGGAAGGGUGUAGAUGUUAUGAUACAUAAGUCAGAAGACCUGCCUGUUUUUAA
rnacentral:ncRNA from 1 species